rnacentral:rRNA from 1 species
CAGCCGCCGCGGUAAUACGUAGGUGGCAAGCGUUGUCCGGAAUUAUUGGGCGUAAAGGGCUCGCAGGCGGUUUCUUAAGUCUGAUGUGAAAGCCCCCGGCUCAACCGGGGAGGGUCAUUGGAAACUGGGAAACUUGAGUGCAGAAGAGGAGAGUGGAAUUCCACGUGUAGCGGUGAAAUGCGUAGAGAUGUGGAGGAACACCAGUGGCGAAGGCGACUCUCUGGUCUGUAACUGACGCUGAGGGGCGAAAGCGUGGGGAGCGAACAGGAUUAGAUACCCCCGUAGUCCCUGUCUCUUAUAC